CAGACCUAGGUCAACCCAUCGACCUCAAACAGACCUAGGUCAGCCCUCAGAUACCUCAAGCGACCUGGUCAGCCCCUCAGAUACCUCCAAGAGACCUAGGUCAGCCCAAUCAGACCUCCAACAGACCUAGGUCAGCCCCUCAGACCUCCAACAGACCUAGGUCAGCCCCUCAGACUAGGUCAGCCCCUUGACCU
rnacentral:lncRNA from 1 species